AGCGAACGCUGGCGGCAGGCUUAACACAUGCAAGUCGAGCGGGCACUUUCGGGUGUCAGCGGCGGACGGGUGAGUAACGCGUGGGAACGUGCCCUCUGGUUCGGAAUAACUCAGGGAAACUUGAGCUAAUACCGGAUACGCCCUUUUGGGGAAAGGCUUGCUGCCGGAGGAUCGGCCCGCGUCUGAUUAGCUAGUUGGUGAGGUAACGGCUCACCAAGGCGACGAUCAGUAGCUGGUCUGAGAGGAUGAUCAGCCACACUGGGACUGAGACGCGGCCCAGACUCCUACGGGAAGCAGCAGUGGGGAAUAUUGGACAAUGGGCGCAAGCCUGAUCCAGCCAUGCCGCGUGAGUGAUGAAGGCCUUAGGGUUGUAAAGCUCUUUUAUCCGGGACGAUAAUGACGGUACCGGAGGAAUAAGCCCCGGCUAACUUCGUG
rnacentral:rRNA from 1 species